rnacentral:rRNA from 1 species
CCUACGGGAGGCAGCAGUGGGGGAUAUUGCACAAUGGGGGAAACCCUGAUGCAGCGACGCCGCGUGUGGGAAGACGGUCCUCUGGAUUGUAAGCCACUGUCCCCAGGGACGAAGAUGACGGUACCUGGGGAGGAAGCUCCGGCUAACUACGUGCCAGCAGCCGCGGUAAUACGUAGGGAGCCAGCGUUGUCCGGAAUUACUGGGUGAAAAGGUAGCGUAGGCGGGAGGUCAAGUUGGAUGUUAAGUCUACCGGCUAAACUGGUAGUAGCACUCAAAACUGGUAUUCUUGAGUGAAGUAGAGGUAGGCGGAAUUCCUAGUGUAGCGGUGAAAUGCGUAGAUAUUAGGAGGAACACCAGUGGCGAAGGCGGCCUGCUGGGCUUUUACUGACGCUGAGGCUCGAAAGUGUGGGGAGCAAACAGGAUUAGAUACCCCUGUAGUC